AAAAAGUAGGAGUUUUCCUGAAUGCACCCACUGUUGUGCACUCCAAGGAGCUCCAUACCAUACAUCAAGAAAAUACCAUACACCAAGAAUGCAGCUCCCAUACUGACCUUGUUGUAUCUGCUAUCAGUGUCAUUGAGUUGAAUUUAAAGAAUCUAUUGUGUCCUAAUAUCUAUAAAUAGGUUUUGCUGUCAAGAAGCUAACAAAACAAAGCUCAAGAUAGUUAACUUUAUUGAACAAUUCUGCAGUAUCAAACAAUUAACUGCUUGGAGCACUGCCUGCCAACCACCACCAGCUUGUUCAGGUUUCUGCUCCUGUUGGUGUAAAUGCUAUUCUCAGUGUAUUGGAAAUUUGGAUGAUGAGAAUUCACCGAGGCAGAGGAAGGUUCUCUUUUGCUGAUAUCAUAGCAAUUUCGAUGAUAGGAGUUGGUGGUGCACUUUACUUCUGGCAACCAAUAUUUUCCGAAAUUAAUAAAGCUGCAAAGUCACAAGCUGUUGAGGCUGACACUUCAACUUCAAAAGCCACUUCCGUGAACUCCACACCUAAGACUUCCAGCUCUUAAUAACACAGGAUUAGAGGACUUGGUGUCAGCUCAGUGCCAGCCAUGUCAACUGCUGCAAGCAAACUUAUCAACAGGAUUACUAUUGCUUUCUUGGGUGGAGCUAUCCUAAGCUUUUUCUGGGGGAAAUAUUACAUUGCACCUUACUUGACGAAGAGGAAACAAGAUCGAGGCUUCGACUUUGGGGAAGUCCUCUACGAUAUGGAGACUAAGAAACCAGAUUCAAAAUAGAGUGAACAAAUACGUGCGACUUCACUUGUGUAUUCGAAAGUGUUAUGCGUCACUAUCAUGGAACGUUCAAACAAAUUACUAAUGUAUGUUUGUAUAUGAAAACAUGAUGUUUAUGACAUUUAAAUAGAACAUUAACCGUAUUAAAUUCAUAAAUGGUCCCAAUCAAAUUUAUUUUUCAGUAUUUUAAUCGAUGGUGAAAACGUGAUUAGAAAUGGUUAGUCCACGGCAGUCCCAGCCCACGAGCCUGAUCAGGCCGGUUAAGAUGCCUAUGACGGUUAAACUUGUUACUGGACAUCGCGAACUGUAAUCUAGGUGCUCUGGCAGAAUCAUAAAAUCCCUGCCGCACGUACGAUGUUUUCACAGUUUGUUGUUUGCAAGCAUGAGCGAUUUCGCUGUAAUGGGACCUAAUAAACGUUUCUAUUGGGCCUACUACCGCUUUAACUUCUUGCAGAGGUUGCCCUUGGUUGAACUCAAGAUCGGUGGUUGGGUUGAUAUUGAGUUCCUUGACAUUGGUUGACUUCAAUGGACAGCCUUAUUAUCGUACAUAGUACCAAAGGUAGACGAAGCUUCUGGACCAGCCCCACGUGCCUCGGUUAGCAUAUUGGUCGUGAUUGAGAAGGAGUAAGACGGCAUUAUAAAAAACAGUCGCAGGAUCGAUUAGUGGUUGUGGCAGAUGAGGUCCCUGUUUGGACGCCAAAUGUUACGGGGAGCUGUCUCGAUAAUGUGGUUGGUAACUUAGUGCAACAGAAGGUUUUUUUCUUAAGCAGGGUUAAAGCAAUGGUUUGAUUGAAGGUCUCCGCUUGCAUUACAACUUCCUUGCAGAAAUGAAAAUGUGUCUCUCCCACAACAACGCGAGUGAGGCCUUGAAUGUUGAGCCAUAAUUGUAAAAGUUUUCUUGACAACAGUUCGGGGAAAUUUUGUUGCAUGAGAAACGAACUGUAAGCGCAUUUGAAUUCCAAUGUUUAUUGUAAAAAUCAAGAAGUAGUGGCUGGAUUUCAUAUGCAGUAUCUGAAAAUGCAUCAUCACAAGCCCUAUAGCUCUGGUUAUGGUAAGACCUCGCCAACGAAAUAGUUUGUUAUUUCCGAAUACGAUCCUCGAGACCAGAAAAGGUUUGGGGAUCGUCAGUUCUAUAUAUCAUUAGGCCGCCUACGCUAAAUAUUCUAUCUUGAUGCCAGGUUAAAUUUGUGUUUUUUUUUU